UGUGCAGCUGUUCUGCCUUCUAGGGGCCAUC
rnacentral:piRNA from 1 species